rnacentral:rRNA from 1 species
UGGCGGACGGGUGAGUAACGCGUGGGUAACCUGCCUCAUACAGGGGGAUAACAGUUAGAAAUGACUGCUAAUACCGCAUAAGACCACAGCACCGCAUGGUGCGAGGGUAAAACUCCGGUGGUAUGAGAUGGACCCGCGUCUGAUUAGGUAGUUGGUGGGGUAACGGCCUACCAAGCCGACGAUCAGUAGCCGACCUGAGAGGGUGACCGGCCACAUUGGGACUGAGACACGGCCCAA